GAGACGAACAACUGCGAAAGCAUUUGUCUAAAAUACUUCCAUUAAUCAAGAACGAAAGUUAAGGGAGUGAAGACGAUCAGAUACCGUCGUAAUCUUAACCAUAAACUAUGCCGACUAGGUGUUAGAUGAAAGUGUUAAAAAUAAAAGUCAUCUUUCGAGGUGACUUUUAGAUUGCUUCCUUCAGUACCUUAUGAGAAAUCAAAGUCUUUGGGUUCUGGGGCGAGUAUUCGCGCAAGCGAGAAAGUUAAAAGAAUUGACGGAAGGGCACCACCAGGCGUGGAGCUUGCG
rnacentral:rRNA from 1 species